rnacentral:rRNA from 1 species
AAUCAACGCUGGCGGCGUGCCUCAGACAUGCAAGUCGAACGAUUAAAGCUCUCUUCGGAGAGUGCAUAAAGUGGCGCACGGGUGAGUAACACGUAAGUAAUCUACCUUCGAGUGGGGAAUAACGUCCGGAAACGGACGCUAAUACCGCAUAAUGCAGCGGCACCUAAUGGUGACAGUUGUUAAAGGAGCAAUCCGCUUGAAGAGGAGCUUGCGGCAGAUUAGGUAGUUGGUAAGGUAAUGGCUUACCAAGCCUGCGAUCUGUAACCGGUCUUAGAGGAGGGUCGGUCACACUGACACUGAAUAACGGGUCAGACUCCUACGGGAGGCAGCAGUCGGGAAUUUUGGGCAAUGGGCGAAAGCCUGACCCAGCAACGCCGCGUGAAGGAUGAAGUAUUUCGGUAUGUAAACUUCGAAAGAAUGGGAAGAAUCAAUGACGGUACCAUUUAUAAGGUCCGGCUAACUACGUGCCAGCCGCCGCCGUAACAC